rnacentral:tRNA from 4 species
GCCGAUGUAGCUCAGUGGUAGAGCAGCGGUAUCGUAAACCGUAGAUGGCAGUUCGAUUCUGCCCAUCGGCUCCA